rnacentral:rRNA from 1 species
UACGGAGGGUGCAAGCGUUAUCCGGAUUUACUGGGUUUAAAGGGUGCGUAGGUGGGUUGGUAAGUCAGUGGUGAAAUCUCCAGCUUAACUGGGAGGGUGCGCCGAAGACUGGAAGGCUUGAGUAUGGGAGAGGUAAGCGGAAUUCCUGGUGUAGCGGUGAAAUGCGUAGAUAUCAGGAGGAACACCUGCGGUGUAGACGGCUUACUGGACCAUAACUGACGCUGAGGCACGAAAGCGUGGGUAGCAAACGG